rnacentral:rRNA from 1 species
GACGAACGCUGGCGGCGUGCUUAACACAUGCAAGUCGAACGGAAAGGCCCUGCUUUUGUGGGGUGCUCGAGUGGCGAACGGGUGAGUAACACGUGAGUAACCUGCCCUUGACUUUGGGAUAACUUCAGGAAACUGGGGCUAAUACCGGAUAGGAUCUCCUGCUGCAUGGUGGGGGUUGGAAAGUUUCGGCGGUUGGGGAUGGACUCGCGGCUUAUCAGCUUGUUGGUGGGGUAGUGGCGUACCAAGGCUUUGACGGGUAGCCGGCCUGAGAGGGUGACCGGCCACAUUGGGACUGAGAUACGGCCCGGACUCCUACGGGCGGCAGCAGUGGGGAAUAUUGCACAAUGGGCGGAAGCCUGAUGCAGCAACGCCGCGUGCGGGAUGACGGCUUUCGGGUUGUAAACCGCUUUCGCCUGUGACGAGGCGUGAGUGACGGUAAUGGGUAAAGAAGCACCGGCUAACUACGUG